rnacentral:rRNA from 1 species
GAUGAACGCUGGCGGCGUGCCUAAUACAUGCAAGUCGAGCGAACAGACGAGGAGCUUGCUCCUUUGACGUUAGCGGCGGACGGGUGAGUAACACGUAGGUAACCUACCUAUAAGACUGGGAUAACUUCGGGAAACCGGAGCUAAUACCGGAUAAUAUUUCGAACCGCAUGGUUCGAUAGUGAAAGAUGGCUUUGCUAUCACUUAUAGAUGGACCUGCGCCGUAUUAGCUAGUUGGUAAGGUAACGGCUUACCAAGGCAACGAUACGUAGCCGACCUGAGAGGGUGAUCGGCCACGCUGGAACUGAGACACGGUCCAGACUCCUACGGGAGGCAGCAGUAGGGAAUCUUCCGCAAUGGGCGAAAGCCUGACGGAGCAACGCCGCGUGAGUGAUGAAGGUCUUCGGAUCGUAAAACUCUGUUAUUAGGGAAGAACAAACGUGUAAGUAACUGUGCACGUCUCGACGGUACCUAAUCAGAAAGCCACGGCUAACUACGUG